AAGGUGAGUCUUAAUCACCCUAUUGACCCCUCUCCAGGUUUGAUCUGAUUGCUGGUGGGGGUGCCGCCUUGACUCUGCACUUCGAACGGGCCCCUUUCAUGAGCCAGGAGCGCACAGUGUGGCUGCCGUGGAAUAGCUUCUAUGCUAUGGACACCCUGGUAAUGAAGACCGAGGAGAACUCCAUCCCCAGCUGUGACCUCAGUGGCUUUGUCCGGCCUGAUCCAAUCAUCAUCUCCUCCCCUCUGUCCACCUUCUUCAGUGCUUCCCCUGCAGCGAACCCCAUUGUGCCCGAGACCCAGGUUCUUCACGAAGAAAUUGAGCUCCCAGGUUCCAAUGUGAAGCUCCGUUAUCUCAGUUCUAGAACUGCAGGGUACAAGUCACUGCUGAAGAUCACCAUGACCCAGUCUACAGUGCCCUUGAACCUCAUCAGGGUUCACUUGAUGGUUGCUGUAGAGGGGCAUCUCUUCCAGAAGUCAUUCCAGGCUUCUCCCAACCUGGCCUACACAUUCAUCUGGGACAAGACUGAUGCUUAUGGCCAAAGGGUAUAUGGGCUAUCCGAUGCUGUCGGUAUGUAUUGGUCUCAACUGCUUUUCAGUCGUGGCUUUGGUUGUGUUUCUACAUAUUCCAAGCACUCUACCUGUCAAUAAAGACACAGUAGCCAAAAAGACAGACAAGGUCUCUCUUCCAGAGGGAUUACAUUCCAGUGGAG
rnacentral:lncRNA from 1 species